ACUGGGCAAUGUAAUGUAAUGUAAUGGACAAAUCCAUUUCCAACCUGUAGGGGACCGAAGUGGGAAAAGUUCUCUGGUGUUGCCACAAGGACAAAGAAAAC